rnacentral:RNase_P_RNA from 1 species
AGGACGGGCCGAGGGAUCGCCGUCGGGAGCCUGCGGGUUCACCGUGCGGAGGAAAGUCCGAGCUCCGCAAGGCAGGAUGCCGGGUAACGCCCGGGCGCCGNNNNNNNNNNGCACAGGCAAGGGUGAAAGGGUGCGGUAAGAGCGCACCGGGCCGCUGGCAACAGCGGCCGCAUGGCAAACCCCAUCCGGAGCAAGGCCAAAUAGGGGACGAGGGAUCGCCUGUCCCGUCCGAGUCCCGGGUAGGCCGCUCGAGGUCCGGAGCAAUCCGGAUCCCAGACAAAUGAUCCCGGACCGCCGCUCAGGCGGUCUACAGAACUCGGCUUAUGACGCCCGUCCUCCUG